rnacentral:rRNA from 1 species
AGUGGACGCUGGCGGUAGGCCUAACACAUGCAAGUCGAACGGCAGCACAGUAAGAGCUUGCUCUUACGGGUGGCGAGUGGCGGACGGGUGAGGAAUACAUCGGAAUCUACUUUUUCGUGGGGGAUAACGUAGGGAAACUUACGCUAAUACCGCAUACGACCUACGGGUGAAAGCAGGGGAUCUUCGGACCUUGCGCGAUUGAAUGAGCCGAUGUCGGAUUAGCUAGUUGGCGGGGUAAAGGCCCACCAAGGCGACGAUCCGUAGCUGGUCUGAGAGGAUGAUCAGCCAGACUGGAACUGAGACACGGUCCAGACUCCUGCGGGAGGCAGCAGUGGGGAAUAUUGGACAAUGGGCGCAAGCCUGAUCCAGCCAUACCGCGUGGGUGAAGAAGGCCUUCGGGUUGUAAAGCCCUUUUGUUGGGAAAGAAAAGCAGCAGGUUAAUACCCCGCUGUUCUGACGGUACCCAAAGAAUAAGCACCGGCUAACUUCGUG